CCUACGGGAGGCAGCAGUAGGGAAUUUUCGGCAAUGGGGGGAACCCUGACCGAGCAACGCCGCGUGAACGAAGAAGGUAUUCGUGAUGUAAAGUUCUUUUAACAGGGAAGAAAGAGAGAUUUGACGGUAGCUGAAGAGUAUGCUCCGGCUAACUCCGUGCCAGCAGCCGCGGUAAGACGUAGGGAGCGAGCGUUAUCCGGAAUGAUUGGGCGUAAAGGGUGCGUAGAUGGGCUAGUAAGUCUGUGGUAAAAAUGCUGGGCUCAACUCAGUAGGGCAAAUGAUACUGACAAGCUAGAGUGUGACAGAGGCAUGCGGAAUGACAUGUGUAGCGGUAAAAUGCGUAAAUAUA
rnacentral:rRNA from 1 species